GGUAUUUUCAGGGAAAUUUUAACCAACGAUAAAUAAUGUAUAAUGACGUACUUCAUAGAAUCAUUAAUUAUAUAAAGACAUAUCUUUCAUAGUAAAUAGAUUCGAUCCAAAAAUGCAAUUAAGAAGAAGAAAAAACUCAGGUAGAUGAGUUAUUUUCUUUCUUUUCUUGGUUUUGCAUGCUAAUUAGGUCAAAACUAUUUGAAACUUAACCGUAAGAAAGAGAGAGUUCGUAUACCUGUAUUAAUGUUGGCUUGAGAUGAAAGCUUGGGGAGUCUUUAAGCCAGAAAGGUUACCGAUGAAUCAUGAGGACGGUUGAUUUAUAAAACAGCCUGACCGAAAGAGGAAUGAAGCUACCCAAGGAUGAAUCCAAAGAGAUGGCAUGAUCCAAAACCAAGCAAUUUUUUUGUGAUUUGUUUGCUAAUUAUUAAGAAAACAAAUGAAUGGAGAAUUCACCUCUUAGUUUAGGAUCAAUGCGAUCCCUUUGGAUCCUUCCUCUAGUUGCUAUGAAUGAUUCGUUCUCUUUCUCUCUCU
rnacentral:lncRNA from 1 species